CACGUAGGGCGCAAGCGUUGUCCGGAAUUAUUGGGCGUAAAGAGCUCGUAGGCGGUCUGUUGCGUCCGCUGUGAAAACUCGGGGCUUAACCCCGAGCCUGCAGUGGAUACGGGCAGACUAGAGGUAGGUAGGGGAGAAUGGAAUUCCCGGUGUAGCGGUGAAAUGCGCAGAUAUCAGGAGGAACACCGAUGGCGAAGGCAGGUCUCUGGGCCAUUACUGACACUGAGAAGCGAAAGCAUGGGGAGCGAACAGG
rnacentral:rRNA from 1 species